ACCGUGGUAAUUCUAGAGCUAAUACAUGCUUAAACGCCCGACUUUAUGGAAGGGUGGUAUUUAUUAGACUGAAGCCAAUAUUCCUUGUGUCUAUUGCGGUGAUUCAUAAUAACUGAUCGAAUCUCUUUUUGAGAUAAAUCAUUCAAGUUUCUGCCCUAUCAGCUUUCGAUGGUAGUGUAUUGGACUACCAUGGCAGUAACGGGUAACGAAGAAUUAGGGUUCGAUUUCGGAGAGGGAGCAUGAGAAACGGCUACCACAUCUAAGGAAGGCAGCAGGCGCGUAAAUUACCCAAUCCUGACUCAGGGAGGUAGUGACAAGAAAUAGCAAACCGGGAACCUCAUGGUUUCACGGUAUUGCAAUGAGAACAAUUUAAAACCCUUAGCGAGAAUCAAGUGGAGGACAAGUCUGGUGCCAGCACCCGCGGUAAUUCCAGCUCCACUAGCGUAUAUUAAAGUUGUUGCAGUUAAAAGCUCGUAGUUGAACCUCUGUCUGGGGCUAGUUUUGGCUUUGGUCAGGCUAGUUCUAGGCAUCCGCCUACAAGACUUAGAGGGCAUUCAGUUGUUCACUAGGAGGAGUAGGCAUUUUACUUUGAAAAAAUUAGAGUGUUUAAGGCAGGCAAUCGCCCGCAUAUAUUAGCAUGGAAUAAUAGAAUAGGACACUUUUCCAUUUCGUUGGUUAUUGGAAUCGUGUAAUGAUUAAUAGGGACAGUUGUGGGCAUUUGUAUUUAAUUGUCAGAGGUGAAAUUCUUGGAUUUAUUAAAGACAAACUAACGCGAAAGCAUUUGCCAAGGAUGUUUUCAUUAAUCAAGAACGAAAGUUAGGGGAUCAAAGACGAUCAGAUACCGUCCUAGUCUUAACUAUAAACUAUUCCGACUCAAUGUUUGACUGGCUUAUAUAACCAGUUGAGCGUUGUAUGAGAAAUCAAAGUCUUUAGGUUCUGGGGGGAGUAUGGUUGCAAAGCUGAAACUUAAAGGAAUUGACGGAAGAGCACAACCAGGAGUGGAUUCUGCGGCUUAAUUUGACUCAACACGGGGAAACUUACCAGGUUAAAACAAUAGUGGGAUUGACAGUUUGAGAGCGCUUUCUUGAUUGGUUGGGUGGUGGUGCAUGGCCGUUCUUAGUUGGUGGAGUGAUUUGUCUGCUUAAUUGCGUUAACGAACGAGACCUUAACCUGCUUACUAGACUGGCGAUCAUCAAUCGUUAGCUCC
rnacentral:rRNA from 1 species